rnacentral:rRNA from 1 species
UACCAGGGGUGCGAGCGUUGUCCGGAAUCACUGGGCGUAAAGGGCGCGUAGGCGGCUUGAUAAGCGUGCGGUGAAAGCCCGGGGCUCAACCCCGGGUCGGCCGUGCGAACUGUCGAGCUGGAGCACUGUAGAGGCAGGUGGAAUUCCGGGUGUAGCGGUGGAAUGCGUAGAGAUCCGGAAGAACACCGGUGGCGAAGGCGGCCUGCUGGGCAGUGGCUGACGCUGAGGCGCGACAGCGUGGGGAGCAAACAGG